rnacentral:lncRNA from 1 species
GCAAAGUUCAAGCGUCUGCAGGCAAGGAGAGUGGGUAUCAGAUCUGCUCAUUUUCACAGACAGUGAAAUGAUGAUGACCCCUUCUGCGCAAUCGGACCCCGGAAAGCAGCCUCUUCUGCGCAAUCGGACCCCGGAAAGCAGCCUCCCUUUAAGGCUAGAAGAGCCCGGACACUUUGAAAGUGCCCUUCCUGCCCAGACGCGGGAGAAGUAAAGAGUGUGAAGGCGGAGCCACAGGACUGGCGACACCCUCUAAAGGUCCAGUCCUUGCCCGCCUUCCUACCACCUUAGGGAUUUGGCACAGAGAGCGAGAUCCCCUUCUCAAUGAAAGAGAUGUCCCUUUAAGGUUUGCUUUGCAGCCUGUGGACUUUAGCCUAAACACCGACCCGCGAAGCUGGCUUUAUUUGUCCAUGUCUCGGACAGAGCCUGGGACGCUGCCAGUGAGAUUUCAGAGACCCAAGAGCGCGAAGGGGCGGGCGAUGUGGCAAUCCGUCUGGAUGGGAAAAACGUGGAGCUGACCUAGAGGCAUUCGACGAAAACACAGGAAAUCACUCCUCUGCCGCGCUUGGACGCUGCGGCCGCCUGGGGCCACCGAGUGAGACCCGAGAAGACCUUCGAAGUGGCCAGAAGAGCGCGGCGCCGGAGUCCAGUCCUGCCAGGUCUUGCCCUCUGAACCAGCUCAUCCCGGAGCACUGCGAGCACUGCAGCCACUCCAGCCAUGGCCCUCCUGCGCCAUGACAGCCGAGGGGUCGCUGUCGCCUGCUGCUGGCUCCUCACCGGUGAGCAACUCUGCUUUCCUCUGAGCAUCUCCUGCGCGCGGGUCUUGGGGCUUGGAGCCAGGAGGGAGGUCCACAGGGCUGUGGGCCAAAGAGCAGGAGGGAGCACCUGUCUACUUUCAGGCACUACAGGUAACCUGGCCAGGUUAGCCUAUAGGAGUUUCUGCAUUUUGGUUCAUAUAAAAAUUAGUUCGGGUGUAACUUCAGGCCCUUUCAGCUCCAUGACUAAUGGUAAGGCAGUGCUUUAAACUUUAAGUAGAAUUGCCUUUUCAAAUUAAAGUUGUUUUACAAUCUUCACUGUAUUUUAGGAUUUUGUUGAAUGGUUUUGGGGGGAUGACUAGAAGGUGCCUGAUUUUUAUGCAAAAUUCCUAUCUUCAGGUUGUUCAGCAAUGAACAGUAUUGCAUUUUCUUGCUGUGUAGUAUUUAAGAUUUUUCUGCUACAAAACAAAAAAACAAGAGAGUAUUCAAGGCAAAACUGUUUCCUGUCCCUAAAUGAAGUUUCUAUGUCAGCAACCGAGAGGAGGAACAUUUUGAAACUGAGGAGUAAUGAACAUUUAUUUUGUAAAUAUCACAGCACAAGUUAUUUUUAAGAUGCAAAAUAUAGUAUUAUUACAUAAUAUGAAUUUUAAGGAGGGGAUUUAAAAUAACACUAGAAUGCAAAGUUAUAUCCAAUUUAGGUUGAUCACAGCAUUUUCUAAGGAAUUUCAAAUGAUUAAACCAUGGUCAAAACUUUUAAACCAGUUUCUGGUUGAGGAGGGAAAGUUGAAAUGGUGUCAGGAGGAAGGCAGAUAGGUGGAAGUGUAUUGGUAUCAGCUUUAGGGAAGAAAAAUCACCAAAUAAUGGCUUAACAAAUGGUUGGCUUUAGCAUAUCACUGGCAUUCACUGGUUCUGUGUUUUUGUAACUGGCAUACUUGUUAGUACUGGUAAUUUAGCACUUAACAUUACAAAGAGGGACAAGUUAGACAGUUAAGCCCUGUCUCAGAAGGCCAGGUAUUGCUAAUGUUUUGCGAAGAUCAUUCAGAAAUGUAUUAUUAGCAAGCAGAACUUUUUCCAUAGUGAGGUGGUGUAGAGAGUUAAUACUGAGUUACUGGCUUUUCAUCCAAAUAUUCUCCACUAAUCAGGAAAUGCUCCUAAUCCAAACAGUGGUAGCUUCUGAACAGCAUUACAGCUGGGAAGGGAGUUGAUUUACCAGCUACCGCCACUACCCUCUACACAUAUUUGACCUACGAUUCUUCUUCAUCCCCAUUUUUGAAGAUUGUUUCCAUUUUGUUGUUGUUGUUGAAAAUCUGAAGCUUACUAUUCAAGUUGUUUUUCAUUUUACCAAAUAAGUAAUUACUAAUACAGAAAGGAUCCAAUCAAGUUUGCAUCUCCUCUAAAAAGAAUGAAACUUUUAAAAAGGGGGAAAGGUUAACGAUUUACAGUGUCAUAUAUAUGGUGGUAUAAUAUGUCUUGAUGAAUCCUUGGAAGGGACUUAACAGAAAUAAUGCAAGAUAUUUCUGAAUUAUAAUACUUAGCUCUUCUGUGUAUAAAUAUUUAAAUUAGAAUUUCAAUAGCUAUUGAUUCAGCAGACACUUCAUAUAUACUGUGUUUAUGACCAUUUCACAACAUUAAGGAUCAGAGGUUUGAAUUUUUCCUUUCUUUUGCUGGCCUCUCCACUAGUCAUCAUAUUCUAAUAACAGCUCUUCCUUAUCAAUUGUUCAUACUUGGAAACUUCCAAUCAAUUCAGAGUAUACACUUAAUCUGCAGUUGUACUGCCACACCCACCCAUGUACACUACUGUAAAGCUUAUCUUUCUUGUUUGCUUUUUGAAACCAAACUCUAAUCCACCCUCCUAAUAUAUUGUUUUCAUUAUAUCUGAGUUUUUAGUCAGAAAUCUAUGGUGGUUCCUGGUUACCGUAGAUAAAAUCCAAAAUUCUCAACUGCCAAAAUCCAGCAUCCUAUCUCCUACUGCCCCCAUAUCAGUUUCCUCUUGGUAUUGUAACAAGGUGUCAGAUUUUCCAAUCUAAAACACUUACUAUAAUUCUAUAGGUCUUAAGUCUUCCUGGGCUAAAAUCAAGAAGUUACCAGGGUACUGAUUCUAGAGGUUCUAGGAGAAGCUAGGGGAGAAUCAGUUCCCUUGCUUCUUUCAGAUUCUAGAGUCCACCUGCUUCCCUUGACUCUUGGUCCCUUUGUUGUUCUUCAAAGCAAAUAAGGUAACAUCUCCAAACCUUUCCCUCUGGCUCUGUUUUAUUGUCACUUUUCUUUCUCUGAUGAUGACACUAUUGCCUCCCUAGAGAUCCCUGUAUGCACACUGAGCAUACCAGAAUAAUUCCCCAUCUCAAAAUCCUUAAUUUAAUCACAUCUUCCAAAGCCCUUUUGCCAUUCACAAGUUUCUGGAAUUAGGGCAUGGUCAUUUCUAGAAGACCAGUAUUAUUCCGCCUACCAUGACUCUUAAAUAAAAGUGCCUAUCAUAUCUAGUCACAAUUCCUUACUUUCUCCAUAAUCCUGUUUAUUUGCCACUAUAGAUAUGCUCUUCUAGUUUUAAGCAUGUAAUAAAGAACUCCACCCUUCCUUCCCACUAGUCCCUGCCAUCUAAACAAACUCCAGAGUUCAAAGCUGAGCACACAUCACAAGUACAAACUGCCACCAUCCCAAUAAACUUCCCAGUGCAUUUAGAAUUUCUUGAAUUAGCUUCUUUCAAUAUUUAAUUAUUUGUCAAUAUCAAAAUUCUCACUUAUGCCCAAUAGUCUUUAUUGUUAUUUUAUACAAAGUCUCAGCAUCAACUAAUAGCACAUACAGAGAAUUUAACUGAAGAAAUUUUCAUAGAGACAGUUUAGAGAGACUGUAAAGAAACAAGAACCAAAAAAUGAUGAUGGAACAACAGUGUGGAGAAAACACCUAAAGGAACAGUGGGAAGAAAAACCAUGAUUAUUCCUAGACCCAAGGAGCUUGACUCUGAACUCUUAGCUAGAGGAAGGUCACUGGACCAAAACAAUGGCUACAGGUAGAAGAGUGCAGCUAAUGACAAAAUUGAAGCCCAGCAAGAAAGUGGAUAGGGGAAAUAAGUACUUCCCUUCCCCACUACCCUGUAACAUCUUGCCCAGUCCUUACACUGGCCAUAUCCAAGUGGUUGGAUUCAGCUUUCCAGAGGACAAGAUCAAGACAGAAAAUAACAGAGAGUACCUAGUACAGUUUAAUGCUAAGCUGUAUAUGUGCAAGGCCCAGUGCCAACAACUUCAUUUGUAUUAUUUUAAUCUAAAAAAAAGUGCAAAGAUUUGGAACUAUUAUCCUUAUUGGAGAGAUGAGGAUAUCAAAGUACUGAGAUUAAUUUUAUUGGUCCAAAGUUGAGCAAAAGUAAAUGACAAAUUUAACUCAAUUCAGAUCCCUGACCUCAAAUUCAUUUUCGGAAAUAUGCUAUACAGUCUGCCUAAUGUAAGUCUACUCCCCUCUUGAUUAUCCUCUGUGAAAUUCAAAUAUAAUCAUCUAAAAAAAUUUUAAUAAGGUUCUAGUUAAUAAUGCAAGUGUUAUUUUCAUGAUUUUUUGGUGUACAGUGAAAUUAGAUGAUGAUCCACCCUACACCAAGUAUAACACAAAUAAGAAUGUUUAUUAACAUAAACACAUAGAAUUACCCUAAGUGAGUUAUGUAUGUCUCCAUACUCUAUAAACAUUUAGGGUCUUUUUCUGAGACCUUUUGCACAGGCAGGAUUCCAUGUUUGAAAUGAACUCCAGUGAGGAGAUGGCUGAAUAUGGAGAGGAAAUCACUUACCCAAACCAAAGAAAUUGUCUCCAGGGUCAGACAAUGUGAUAUUAGGAGUUAGGAGUCACCAAAGAUGCUGAAAACUUCCUUGGUCAUUAUGAUGUCUGUAAAGGUAGCAAUGAAUUUGAAGGAUUUUUGUUUGUUGUUUAGUAAAUAAGCAAUGAGAGUAAUAAAUCUAUCUGCUAUACUAGUUUACCUAUGUUUCUUCUGUGUGUCAUGAUUCAAGAUUCUAAUGCAUGAUUUGUGGGGACACAGUUCCAGAUCAAAAAGUUGACUUCUGGCCGGGAGUUGGGGGGUUACUGGGACUUGAACCCAGGGGCCCUGUAACAAACACUGAGCUACAUAUUCAGUCCUUUAUUUUUUAAUUUUUUGAGAGAGUCUUGCUAAGUUGCUGCAAACUUGAAUUCAUCCUGCCUCACCCUCCCAAACUGCUGGGAUUACAGGCAUGUGCCAUCUUGCCCAACUUGAUCCUACUUCUUUAGACAGAUGAUCCUCUGCCUUUGUUCCUCCACCUCAAUCCUAAAAACAUCCUACUGAGAUUUACAUCUUGAUAAAUUUUUAUGUCCCUUAAAAUAACUGCAGUAGAAUAAAAUAGCUCAUGUUAAAAACAGAAAAUUAUAAGAGACUAAAUACUAUUAUUACCUGUACUGUUAUUUUGUUGUUUGAAACACAAAAUGGUGUACUUGAAUUUGCAUUAAGCUAAUUGUAUUCACUCUCCAAGCAAGUACAGUAAAGCAUCAAGAGUUGAAAAUUAGAUGAAUAUAUUCCUUUUCUCAAGAUUUUUAAACUUCUUUCAGCUCCUCUGUUAUCUAUCUCCCUGAAAUUUCCUCCAAGCCAUUGCAUAAGUAGUUAUUCCAACUGUUGCUGAUCCUUAAUUCUCCACAUAAAUGUCAUUCCUAAGAAACUUCCUGGAGUAUAAUGAAACCCUUUCCCCAGGGACAGGUGUGCCAUACUUCCUUUGCUUUUAUAAUAUACCACAAUAUUUAAAUAUCUAAUUGUCAGUUUUCCAAGCCUGCUUUAUGCUCUGUUGAAAGCAGGGUCUUUGCUUAUUACCCUUAGAAUCUAGGAAUCACAAGUACCUUUUAUUGAAUGAAUUAUGAAAUAACAGACAAACUUAUGAAGUACUUAAGGAAUUAGAUUGCCCCCUUUAAUUAUAUCUUUACCCAUGUUUAUAUUUACUUGAAUUGGAAAUACCAUCAAUUGAAAAAUGCACCAAUAUUUUAUGCACCACUAAGAUAAGCACUAUCAAUCCAAUAUAUAAUUAAUAGAUUGCCAGAUGCAUCCUAGUUUCAGAGAUAUUGAAAUGUGGGGAAAAACACAUCUGAAAAUUACAAUCCAUAAUAUAAAGUAUAUCUACAUGGAAAUUUCUUCUUACACUUGAAAACUACACCUUAAGAUUUCAAAGAGGCUAAUAUAUGACACCCUUUCUGUAAACACUGUUCCUGUCCUCUUAGUUCUCUUCCAGAGUCAAGUUUGUAUCUGACUCAGGGAAUAAUUUCUCCUCUGCUACCAGCAGCCUCACAAGUUCCCAUAAACAAAGCUUCCUCUGAAUAUCUACCUUUAGAAGGGAGCUUUAGGAGAAAGAUGAUAAUAAGAAGUAAAGAAUGUUCCAGCUGUACAGAAUCAAUGACUCUAGCUUUAGAAAACUCUUCACCUUUUGUCAUGGUGCUUCACUAGGGUUUGCAUUGUGUAAGGGCCUAAUUUUAAUCUAAUCUUUUCUGACUUAAAAGGGUAAUUAAAAAGUUAACCAAAUUUUAACGGGGAAAUUCAAAUGCACACAAUGAUUGAUGUUAGGAAUUCACUGUAAGUCCCAAAACUAUAAUACUGUUUUAUCUGAACAGCAGAUCUCUGUAAAUAAACAAGAGAAAAAUCUGAAAUAACAAAAAAUCAUUGUAAUUAAAAUAUCAACAAGAGUGAAGACAUAUGCUUUUGCAUAUGAAAUAUAUGAGUUGCUUAAAUGAAUGCAAAUUUUAAAAUCACAUUAGAAUAUCAAAUGGUUAUAGUAGCUUACAUAUUUUAUUAUAAAUCAUGUACUGUUACUACAGGUUAAAU